GAUGAAGAACGCAGCGAAAUGCGAUAAGUAAUGCGAAUUGCAGAAUCCGUGAGUCAUCGAAUCUUUGAACGCACAUUGCGCCCUUUGGUAUUCCGAAGGGCAUGCCUGUUCGAGUGUCAUUAUCACCACUCAAGCCCGGCUUGCUGUUGGUGGCAGCGCAGCCGGUCAACCGGCUACGCUCCACCCAAAGAUAAUGACGGCGUCUGCGAGGACUCCUGUACAUUGAGCUUUCGGGCACGUACAUGGCUAGAAGUCCAGGCGCCGGUCGACGUCCUCCGGGACACUUUUUACCAAGGUUGACCUCGGAUCAGGUAGGGAUACCCGCUGAACUUAAGCAUAUCAAUAAGCGGAGGA
rnacentral:misc_RNA from 1 species